rnacentral:misc_RNA from 1 species
AUGUUAUGAUGCCGGAUUUCCUCGUGGGGAAAAGAACCCCAGCCAUUCACUGUUUGCUAACUUUAGUCCUGUUUAUUUGUCAACAUCAAAAGAAGAGACUCAGUCUGCAACUUCUGAGGUUGCUUUCUGGAUAGGUGGCCAGGUAACUGAUGAAGGUCUCAGAUGGCUGUUGGAGAGAGGGUUCAAAACCAUUGUAGAUCUCAGAGCUGAGGUUGUAAAAGAUAUCUUCUAUGAGAAAGUGCUAGA